AAAACAAUAAAGUAAAGGUUAAUACAAGGAGCUGCACUCAGCUCGCAGGCAGAGUCUCCUUAUGAAACCGGCGUCUCUCAGUCUGAGAGCUCAGAUAGGCUUAAUCACCCCGUGUACACUAUCACACAGCUCCACCUACAAAAACACUCUAGGGGUGAAACGAUUACUCGAGUAAAUCGAGGAACUCGAUUAAAAAAAUUAUCGAUUAAUUUUCUGUGCCUCGAGGAAUCGUUUAAUUAAUUUUAACUCAAAGCACGGAAUUUAGCGAGGACUUUUAAUGUGAAACAGCGCUUAGCGUUACGUCACCCAGGCACAGGACGCAGGUGGAGAAGACGGAGGAUUUUGGAGUGAAGAGAGAGAGCAGCCUCGCUCUGAUUGGAGGUGUAGCGCGUGUUUGGACUCCACGGCAGCAGCAGCGCCCGGCGUCAGCCUGACUGGAGCCUCCGCGCCUUCGUGCACGAUUCAUCCGCAGCGCUGGAACUCUCCCAGCCGGCCCAGCGCCUCCUGACAUACAACUGGACUCACUGGGCUCAUCCCCAGUCUCUGGUCUGCAGCAAGAGCCGAGCUGUGUGUGUGUGUGUGUGUGUGUGUGUGUGUGUGUGUGUCCCAUUGGAAUGUAUUUUUGUUUAUUUGUAUCAUUGUUUGCAGUGUGUAGGCCCAUAUAUUAAAAGUAUGUCUAAUCAA